rnacentral:sRNA from 2 species
GGCACGGAUCCGCUUGGGCAGGAGCGGGGGACCCAUUUCCGGACGCGGCGACGGUCGUGUCCUUGGGGUGAAGCCGGUCAGCCGGACGCGACGCCAUCGGCGGAGCGCGAGGAGACGACCGGCCGGGCAUUCCCAGCCCGAACCCGACAGCUCACCCCGCAGGCGCAGGGAAGGAUCGA